CAGGAGUUGCAGCCACACCCAAGAUGGCGCCACAGCUGCUGUGGGACUGGCCGGUGGAUGAAACUGCGGACAUAUUCCUGGCUUCCCCGUGGUCUCCUUGGGGUAGGAAGGGAGUCCAGGUGUCCGCUGGGGUCUUGCUGAAGGGAUGCAGUGGGGGCUUUUCUGGAUGGCAGAGAAGACUACCAUGAAGUGAGUGUGUCAGAGAAACCUGGUCUGAAGAAGGAGGCCAGGGAGCCGGCCAGGCCUUGGUGGGGACAGCAGAUGGACGGGCGAUGCCUCAGACAGGCAGGCGUCUCUCUCAGGGUCUUCAGGGCAUUUUCUCACGCAGCCUCAUAGGAGGCUCAAGGCAGAGGAGGCGCUGCCUCAGUGGAGCGCUCAAGGCGGGCUCUUCUGUCCGAUGGAGUGGAUUACGAGCCAAUGUAUAUACCAAAAAAAAA
rnacentral:lncRNA from 10 species